UACAGAGGGGGCAAGCGUUGUUCGGAAUUACUGGGUGUAAAGGGCGCGUAGGCGGCCUGCUAAGUCGAACGUGAAAUCCCUGGGCUCAACCCAGGAACUGCGUCCGAUACUGGUUGGCUUGAAUCCGGGAGAGGGAUGUGGAAUUCCAGGUGUAGCGGUGAAAUGCGUAGAUAUCUGGAGGAACACCGGUGGCGAAGGCGACAUUCUGGACCGGUAUUGACGCUGAGGCGCGAAAGCCAGGGGAGCAAACGGG
rnacentral:rRNA from 1 species